AUUGAAGCUAGCCUAGUAACGUUGGUUCGAAGCGUAGCAUCUGUUCUUAUCGGCUUAAUAUCUGAUACGGGUUGUAUUUAGACCCAAGAUAUUAAACUUAUUUUUGCAAGUUAUCGGAGUGCUUGAAACCUGCUUCACCUCCGCCGCGGGUCGGCCCAGUAUUGCGCUAUCUUCGGGAUCGACUCACGGUUU